rnacentral:rRNA from 1 species
GACCUCGGAUCAGGUAGGGAUACCCGCUGAACUUAAGCAUAUCAAUAAGCGGAGGAAAAGAAACCAACAGGGAUUGCCUCAGUAACGGCGAGUGGAGCGGCAAAAGCUCAAAUUUGAAAUCUGGCUCUUUCAGGGUCCGAGUUGUAAUUUGUAGAAGAUGCUUCGGGUGAGGUCCCGGUCUAAGUUCCUUGGAACAGGACGUCAUAGAGGGUGAGAAUCCCGUAUGUGACUGGGUACCUACGCUCAUGUGAAGCUCUUUCGACGAGUCGAGUUGUUUGGGAAUGCAGCUCAAAAUGGGUGGUAAAUUUCAUCUAAAGCUAAAUAUUGGCCAGAGACCGAUAGCGCGCAAGUAGAGUGAUCGAAAGAUGAAAAGCACUUUGGAAAGAGAGUUAAACAGUACGUGAAAUUGUUGAAAGGGAAGCGC